rnacentral:rRNA from 1 species
UACAGAGGUCCCAAGCGUUGUUCGGAUUCACUGGGCGUAAAGGGUGCGUAGGUGGUGAAGUAAGUCGGAUGUGAAAUCUCGGAGCUUAACUCCGAAACUGCAUUGGAAACUACUUUGCUCGAGGGUUGGAGGGGGGACUGGAAUUCUCGGUGUAGCAGUGAAAUGCGUAGAUAUCGAGAGGAACACCAGUGGCGAAGGCGGGUUGCUGGGCCGACACGUGACGCUGAUGCGCGAAAGCCAGGGGAGCGAACGGG